AGGCAGCAGUGGGGAAUCUUAGACAAUGGGCGCAAGCCUGAUCUAGCCAUGCCGCGUGAGCGAUGAAGGCCUUAGGGUUGUAAAGCUCUUUCAGGGGGGAAGAUAAUGACUGUACCCCCAGAAGAAGCCCCGGCUAACUCCGUGCCAGCAGCCGCGGUAAUACGGAGGGGGCUAGCGUUGUUCGGAAUUACUGGGCGUAAAGCGCACGUAGGCGGAUCAGAAAGUCAGAGGUGAAAUCCCAGGGCUCAACCCUGGAACUGCCUUUGAAACUCCUGAUCUUGAGGUCGAGAGAGGUGAGUGGAAUUCCGAGUGUAGAGGUGAAAUUCGUAGAUAUUCGGAGGAACACCAGUGGCGAAGGCGGCUCACNGGCUCGAUACNGACGC
rnacentral:rRNA from 1 species